rnacentral:rRNA from 1 species
UACAGGAGGUCUCAAGCGUUGUUCGGAAUCACUGGGCGUAAAGCGCACGUAGGCGGAUUGUUAAGUCAGGGGUGAAAUCCUGGAGCUCAACUCCAGAACUGCCUUUGAUACUGGCGAUCUCGAGUCCGGGAGAGGUGAGUGGAACUGCGAGUGUAGAGGUGAAAUUCGUAGAUAUUCGCAAGAACACCGGUGGCGAAGGCGGGAUCCUGGGCCAGUACUGACGCUGAGGAGCGAAAGCGUGGGGAGCAAACAGG